rnacentral:lncRNA from 1 species
AGUUGAAAAGGAAUUCAAGAUCACUGAGUCCAACCAUAGGUCAAUUAUAUCUUCCUCAAGAAGGACACAUCUUUCAUUAUGAAUAUUCAUUAUGUUUUUUGCCAAAGUGAUUUGGAUAUUCUGAACCAUCCAAGUGAAGAUUUCAUUAAUGGAAGACAGAAGUAUUCUUACAGAGCAUAUUAAAAUUAAUUAACCUUCAAGAGCAGAAAACCAUGAGCAAGGAGAUUCAAAGAAAUCCAGUUAAGAUGACAAAUACUCUUCUAGUACAGACCAAGGAAUAAAUAUUAAAAGCAUACAAAAGUCCA